UACGAAGGGGGCUAGCGUUGUUCGGAAUCACUGGGCGUAAAGGGCGCGUAGGCGGCCGAUCAAGUCGGGGGUGAAAGCCUGUGGCUCAACCACAGAAUUGCCUUCGAUACUGUUUGGCUUGAGACCGGAAGAGGUUAGUGGAACUGCGAGUGUAGAGGUGAAAUUCGAUAGAUAUUCGCAAGAACACCCAGUGGCGAAGGCGGCUCACUGGUCCGGUACUGACGCAUGAGACGGCGAAAAGCGUGGGGAGCGAACAGG
rnacentral:rRNA from 1 species